GCUCGCGUAGCUCAGUUGGUUAGAGCACCGCACCUAUGAGGUUACCUACUCCCGGACUUGCGCCGUAAAGUUCCAGGGGAAACACAUCCAUGCGGGGGUCCUGAGUUCAAACCUCAGCGUGAGUA